ensembl:snRNA LOC120103361 U2 spliceosomal RNA
AUCGCUUCUCGGCCUUUUGGCUAAGAUCAAGUGUAGUAGUGUGUCACAGUGUAUUCCACAGUGAUUCUUCUGUCCACACAUUCUGCUUGCAAAUGUUCAUUAUAGUGACUCAUU